CACUUAGCCAAUUAUUAUAAUGAACACUCUAUAGGUACAUGUUCUAUAAAAAAAAAAAAAAAAUACAUUAUAGUAAAGCUAAUAAAUCCCUCGCUUAACUUCGAAUAUAAAAUAGAGCGACAUAGGCAAUAAGGGGUGGGAGGACUUGGGGAAGCUAUUAGCCCUGCAAAUAUUAUAUUAGCCUCGCCCUCGACUCUUUUCACAAAAAACAUUUUCGUGUUUAGUGUAGUAAUUUAUUUUGAAGUAGGCCGAACAAUUGACAUUAUACUAGACAAAAAUAUUAUAAUACUUGUAAAUAAAUACAUAUAUGCCUACGUCUUCCAAAUUUAAUUAAUAAAAAAAAUAUUUGUCUGUAACUAAAUUUGUUAUUUGCUUACAACAUUGUAUAAUAUAUUCGUAUACAAAAAAAUAUAAAAUGGAAAUUAUUGAAGAUUAGGGGAGCAGCCCCCUACGUUUUACAUAUGUAAAAAAAAAAUAUUAGAUCCAUUGAAAUUUGAAUUAUGAUGUGGUUUUUUUAUACGCGUUUUAAGCUCAAAUUUCGACAAAAAUCGUAAAUUGUACAUCGCUGUUGCCGUACAAAACAAUAAAUACGACCAAUCUCCAUAACCCGCUUACUUAGUAUAUUUUACAAUUAUUUUAUUCGGUUACCUAUACAUUUAAGAAAUGGUCACUAUUAUAUAGAAUUUUAUAUCAACGAAAAAAAAACAACAUAUUACCAUAGCAAAUGUUAUACACAAAAGAUUGAUUAUCAUAAUAAUUGAGGACCGUAUUGAGUGUCGUUAAAAAAAAACCGGCUUUGUUCGUACCUACAUAUUGAUCAAAGCCUGUCAAGUGACAAGUGUCACAUAUUUUUUAUUUUUUUAUUUUUUUUUUUUUAAGCCAUUGACUGCAAUAACUUAAAAGGACUUUUUUUUUUUUAACAUUAAAUCAUUGUUUGAAAUUUUAAAUACUUCGUUCACCUGAAAAUGUAUAAUAUAUUAAAUAUUUGAUCUAAAAUCGUAUAUUGAUCCUAUUAAAAAUCAAACAAAUUAAACAUUUGUUUAGUUUACAUUUUUAUUAUUUUUUUGACAACGGUACAAAUUUUAUUUAUCAUAUAAUUUAUACACGAUUCUUAAAGAGUAAAAUAUAUAUAUAUAUAUAUAUAUAUAUAUUUAUCAUCCUAAUUACAAAAUUAUUAUAUUAAAAAGCACAUUUUUUUUUUUUUUUUAUUCGUGAUUUAUUACAGUACUUUGAAAUAUAAUAAUUUUUGAGUAUUACAAUGUAUUUGUAUUUGUUUUAUUUAACAGUUAAUUAUAUUUAUCAUAUUACUAUUGUGUAUAUAUAUAUAUAUAUAUAUAUAUAGAUACAUAUGUAUAUUAUAUUUAUAUAUACAUACACACACAAUUAUUAAAUCAUAUAACUCGGAAUGCGUCAAACGACAUGUGGUACUUCUAUCACUUCUAUUCAGGCAAAUUUUAAGUGUCUAAUGAUUAUCAUCUGGUCGGUUAUACCGAAAAUAUCAAUGUUAUCAUAAUAAUACGGUAUAGUAAUAAAAAAAAAAAAAAAAAAAUCAAAUCAAAAAUCAACAAUAUUUGUCUGGUUAGUCGCGUUAUAAUAAUAAUGUUCAUGUAAGUCAUUACUGGGCAGUAUCAUAACAUAUAUGUAAAUAUACAAGUAUAUAGUAACAUAUUAUUUUACAUUUCGGACUAGAUCUCAGAAUGUAUGUAAACAUUGUUAAAAUAAUAAUUGUUCGCGGCGAUUUUUCAGGAUUCAGGACAUUUUUAAGAUAAUGAUAAAAGUUUUUUUUUUUUUUUUUUUUUUAAAUUUGUAUUUCAUUAUUAAGAACGACCAUUAUUAUAGUAUACACAUUGCAGCCCUUUUUUCUUACUUAUUAAAAUCGCAUUUUACACGAGUUGAAUGAUACAAAAAAAAAAGAAAAAAAAAGUCGUUUUGUCUUUUAAAAAAAAUCUCUCGCAAUACAAGUGCUUGUCGACCCAUUGUUUUUUUGUUAUUUUCUUUUUUUUUUUUUGGUCCCUGCUUCUAGGAACAUUUUAUAUACAGGUCUAAAACAUAUAACAUUUAGGUAGGUAUCCGUUUUAGCUUAACCCCCCCCCCCCAAACGUUCACCUUUAUUAUACAUGAGAUCAUUCCAUCGAUUGUGUAUUAAUUAUUCCUAUACAAAACGCGUCGGUAACGAGGUUAAAAGAGUCUGUGACCGAAUAAUAAACAAAACCACUACUAUGGAAAACUUCAACCGAAAAUACAUAAUCUUAUUCUCUAUAAUAACAGGUACUUACAAAUAGUGACAAGUGGUAAAUUUUGAUUAAAAACUAAAAAUAUGUUUUAUUAAAAUGUUUAGAAUCUAAUUCUUAGUAAAAAUUGACAUUUAUUGAUUUUUAAACAUAAUUCCAUCAGACAGACAAAGUUUUGAGUUUUAAUACAAUUAAUAUAUAAAAUAUUGUUUGAAUAUAUAUAUAUAUUAUAUAAAUAUCAGUAAUCAUUUUGCAUUAGGAUGGUGUAGUAUUUUGUAAUUCUGGAAUCCCUACAGAGUUUUUCAUUCAAUGUUUUCUCCCACAUGAAUUUAGUACAACGAAUAGAAAAUUAUUAAAUUCACAAAAACGAUUUACCUACACGACUAAUAUUAUUGUAAUACGAAUAUAUAAAUUGGCGAAUAGCCGUCGAAUUUUCACGUUCGAAGACCAUCUUUCAGGUGAAGUUUGGUAACGAAAUUCAGCGUUAAAAAUAUUAAGGUAAUACAAACAUUAAAUCUAUACAUGAUACAAUCCAUACACGAAUUGUUACGUUUCCUCCCCUGUACGUUUCGCGACUAUUUCGACGUAAUGUAUUCGCGGAAACAACCCGCGAACAUUAAUUCGCAUGUACACGCUCGGCCGACUUCGGGGGUUGAAUUCGAAUGACUAUACACGAACAAUAUUGAAUUACAAUCGACGAAAAAUACAGAGGUGAAUUGUUGAGGACAAUUAAUAAUAUCAUGUUCUUGUCCCCCCCCCCC